UGAUCUUCAGCGGAUGGUUAUAUACUGUGAUGCACGCCAUGCUGAGUUGGAAACGUGUUGUGAUAUUCCUUCUGGGCCUUGCCGAGUGACUUUUGCUACAGAACCGCCUCUGCCUGAACUUCCUCCCACUCCUGGCAAUGAGCAGGUCGGGUACAAUACCGUCAAUUGUUCCUGCCCACCGGGAGAAAAGGGUGAAAGAGGCUUGCCUGGGUUUGAAGGCUUG